UAAAGACAUUUAAAAUNNNCAAUGUUCGCCAGGACACUACAAGCAUAAGCUUAAAACCCAAAGGACCUGACGGUGCCUUAGAUCCCCCUAGAGGAGCCUGUUCUAGAACCGAUUAUCCCCGUUAAACCUCCCCAUUUCUGUAAUAUCAGCCUAUAUACCACCGUCGCCAGCUUACCCUGUG
rnacentral:rRNA from 1 species